rnacentral:rRNA from 1 species
AUUAACUGAAUACAUAGGUUAAUGAGGCGAACCGGGGGAACUGAAACAUCUAAGUACCCCGAGGAAAAGAAAUCAACCGAGAUUCCGAAAGUAGCGGCGAGCGAAAUUGGACUAGCCCUUAAGCUUUACACGCGUUAGACGAACGGUCUGGAAAGUCCGACGAUACAGGGUGAUAGUCCCGUAGUUGACGACGUGUGUUCAGUGAAAUCGAGUAGGGCGGGACACGUGAUAUCCUGUCUGAAUAUGGGGGGACCAUCCUCCAAGGCUAAAUACUACUGACUGACCGAUAGUGAACCAGUACCGUGAGGGAAAGGCGAAAAGAACCCCUGUGAGGGGAG